CCUAAUAUAAGCGACAAAAUAAUUAAUAAUUUCUUUAAGUAAAACUUGGCGAUUUGAGGUUAAACUACUAAAAUAAGAUAGAUCCCUGUAGAACUCAUUUACUGUCCGGACAAAAACAAGGGAAUCAUUUUCAAAAAUAAUAUUUUGCAAGGACCUCUUUUUCACCCAACUAAUGGCCUCCCGCAAAGAUAUUGCUUCUGCAACUGUUGCAUCUGGACACUAGCAUGAGAGACCUGGCAUGCAUUUAAAACUUUCCUUUCAUGAUCAUGAACUACCCAGCCUGCCCCAAUCUUCCCCACCCCAGCAAAAACAGAUGCAUCAAUGUUGCAUUCCAACAUACCAA
rnacentral:misc_RNA from 1 species